UAUUGAUUGAUAUUCUAUACUACCAGACUGUAUCAUGUGUGUGUGUAAAAAAACGAAAGCCUCCCCCCUCUCGAAGCGAGCCAAGAGCAAGGGGCCUCCGCAUGGUGGUGCACAAGUGGUGAGAUGGAUUGUGUGAGAGCGCUCCGGCGUGCACGACCUUUUGGAAAGGUCAGCGACAACCUUCACGCCUCUGUAGUACCAUAAUGAUCCUUCCGCAGGUUCACCUACGGAAA
rnacentral:misc_RNA from 1 species